AACAUUUGACCCUUUUUUUAAAUUUAAACAAAAUCAAAACCCAUGAUAAAUGGGAAUGUGUCUCUUUUAUUGAAAAAAAGUUAAAUAAAAUAUAUUAAAAAUGGGAGAGGAUCGACUUUUAUUAUCUCCUAUUAUUAUCAUUUAAAUAAUAAAAAAUAAAAUACCAAAUAAAUGAAACAAAAAAAAACUCAAUGUUCUCUCAGUUCACCGUUGUAACCUCAUUCUUCUCCUACCCUCCAGCACUACUUCCUUUCAAUAACACAAUGGCCGAAAAAACCUCAUCACC
rnacentral:lncRNA from 1 species